rnacentral:rRNA from 1 species
AAAUCUAAGAGUUUGAUCCUGGCUCAGAAUAAACGCUGUUUAUAUGCAUAACACAUGCAAGUUAAAUGUUUACCUUAAAUAUAGCGUACGGGUGUAUACUGUAUAAGAAUUUGCUUUAAAGAUUGAACAAAGUAAUUUUUAAUCAAUUUCAAAUAUUCAAAAGAGAAAAUCGCUUUAAAUUGAGCUUAUAUAGGAUUAGGUAGUUGGUUUAAAGGUAAAAGCUUACCAAGCCGAUAAUCCUUAAUUGAUCUGAGUAGGAUGAUCAAUCACACUAAGACUGAGAGAAGGCUUAGACUUUUUAAAAGGCAGCAGUGAGGAAUUUUGGACAAUGAGUGCAAACUUGAUCCAGCAAUAUAAAGUGAAUGAUAGAAAGCCAUUUUCGGUUGUAAAGUUCUUUUAUUAAAAAAUAUUAUGACUUAUUUAAUGAAAAAACCCGAGCAAAUUUCGUGCCAGCAGCUGCGGUGAUACGAGACGGGUUAGUGUUAUUCAGAAUUAUUGGGCGUAAAACGUGUCUAGACUACUAUUGUUGUAAAUAUUUAAAGCUUAAACUUGACAUUUUUAAGAGAUAUUUUAAACAAAUAGUUUGAGUACAGUGUAAGAUUAUAGAAUUUCAGGAGAAAAAAUAAAAUUUGUAGAUAUCUGAAGGAAUGCCAAAGGCGAAAGCAAUAAUCACUACUUUACUGACGUUGACACACGAAAGUAUAGGUAUCAAACAGGAUUAGAUACCCUGGUAGUCUAUACUGUAAACUAUAAAUAUUCGUUUUGAAAUUAAAAAAAUUUUGAAACCAAACUAACGUGUUAAAUAUUUUGCCUGAGAAGUACACCGGCAACGUUGAAACUCAAAGGAAUUGACGGGGAUUUAUAACAUUGGUGGACUAUGUGGUUUAAUUCGUCAAUACACGCAAAACCUUACCAAUUCUUGAAUAAUUAUAAAAUUAAAGCAAAAUGUUAAUUUUAAUAUAAUUACAGGUGCUGCAUGGUUGUCGUCAGUUCGUAUUGUGAAAUGUCUGGUUUAUUCCUGUAACGAGCGAAACCCUAUUUCUUUAUUACAAAUUUGUGAUUAAAUAACCUUUUUGGUUGUUUUAAGCUUAUAGAACAUUAAGAAUUUUGUAGAACUCCUUAUAACGAUAUAAGGUGAAAAUGGGAUGACGUCAAAUCUUCAUGGCCUUUAUGGAUUGGGCUACUCAUGUAGUACAAAAAUAGUAUCAAUAAGUUGCAAUAAUGAAAAUUGGAGCUAAUCUAGAAAAACUAUAAAAAUUCAAAUUGUUUUCUGAAACUUGAAAACAUGAAGUUGGAAUCAAUAGUAAUCGUUUAUCAGCAAGGAACGGUGAAUUCAAAUUUAAAUCUUGUACAUACCGCCCGUCACAGCCUGGAAAUUAAUUUUAUUUAAAGUUAAAUUAUAUGUUAAACAUUUUAGUUUUUUUUGUUAUUUGUUUUUCACUUAUAACUAAAUUAGAUAAUUGACACGUAGUUUAAUUAGAAUAAAGUUAAUAACUUUGUUGAAGUCGUAACAAGGUAACAGUAGAGGAAUCUGUUGUUGGAAUGUAUAUUAU